rnacentral:rRNA from 1 species
AGGUAAGCUACUAAGAGCGAAUGGUGGAUGCCUUGACUGGUAAAGGCGAUGAAGGACGUACUAGACUGCGAUAAGCUACGGGGAGCUGUCAAGAAGCUUUGAUCCGUAGAUUUCCGAAUGGGGCAACCCAAUGUAUAGAGAUAUACAUUACCUAUAUAGGAGCGAACGAGGGGAAUUGAAACAUCUUAGUACCCUCAGGAAAAGAAAUCAAUAGAGAUUGCGUCAGUAGCGGCGAGCGAAAGCGCAAGAGGGCAAACCCAGUGCUUGCACUGGGGGUUGUAGGACUGCAAUGUGCAAGAGGUAAGUUUAGCAGAACAUUCUGGAAAGUAUAACCAUAGAGGGUGAUAGUCCCGUAUGCGAAAAACAAACCUUAGCUAGCAGUAUCCUGAGUAGGGCGGGACACGAGGAAUCCUGUCUGAAUCCGGGUCGACCACGAUCCAACCCUAAAUACUAAUACCAGAUCGAUAGUGCACAAGUACCGUGAGGGAAAGGUGAAAAGAACUGAGGUGAUCAGAGUGAAAUAGAACCUGAAACCAUUUGCUUACAAUCAUUCAGAGCCCUAUGUAGGAAUACAGGGUGAUGGACUGCCUUUUGCAUAAUGAGCCUGCGAGUUGUGGUGUCUGGCAAGGUUAAGCAAACGCGAAGCCGUAGCGAAAGCGAGUCUGAAUAGGGCGCUUAGUCAGAUGCUGCAGACCCGAAACGAAGUGAUCUAUCCAUGAGCAAGUUGAAGCUAGUGUAAGAACUAGUGGAGGACUGAACCCAUAGGCGUUGAAAAGCCCCGGGAUGACUUGUGGAUAGGGGUGAAAGGCCAAUCAAACUUCGUGAUAGCUGGUUCUCUCCGAAAUAUAUUUAGGUAUAGCGUUGUGUCGUAAUAUAAGGGGGUAGAGCACUGAAUGGGCUAGGGCAUACACCAAUGUACCAAACCCUAUCAAACUCCGAAUACCUUAUAUGUAAUCACAGCAGUCAGGCGGCGAGUGAUAAAAUCCGUCGUCAAGAGGGAAACAACCCAGACUACCAGCUAAGGUCCCUAAAUCUUACUUAAGUGGAAAACGAUGUGAAGUUACUUAAACAACCAGGAGGUUGGCUUAGAAGCAGCCAUCCUUUAAAGAAAGCGUAAUAGCUCACUGGUCUAGUGAUUUUGCGCGGAAAAUAUAACGGGGCUAAAGUAAGUACCGAAGCUGUAGACUUAGUUUACUAAGUGGUAGGAGAGCGUUCUAUUUGCGUCGAAGGUAUACCGGUAAGGAGUGCUGGAGCGAAUAGAAGUGAGCAUGCAGGCAUGAGUAGCGAUAAUUAAUGUGAGAAUCAUUAACGCCGUAAACCCAAGGUUUCCUACGCGAUGCUCGUCAUCGUAGGGUUAGUCGGGUCCUAAGUCGAGUCCGAAAGGGGUAGACGAUGGCAAAUUGGUUAAUAUUCCAAUACCAACAUUAGUGUGCGAUGGAAGGACGCUUAGGGCUAAGGGGGCUAGCGGAUGGAAGUGCUAGUCUAAGGUCGUAGGAGGUUGUACAGGCAAAUCCGUAUAACAAUACUCCGAGAACUGAAAGGCUUUUUGAAGUCUUCGGAUGGAUAGAAGAACCCCUGAUGCCGUCGAGCCAAGAAAAGUUUCUAAGUUUAGCUAAUGUUGCCCGUACCGUAAACCGACACAGGUGGGUGGGAUGAGUAUUCUAAGGCGCGUGGAAGAACUCUCUUUAAGGAACUCUGCAAAAUAGCACCGUAUCUUCGGUAUAAGGUGUGGUUAGCUUCGUACUAGGAUUUACUCCGAAAGCGAAGAAACUUACAACAAAGAGUCCCUCCCG